rnacentral:misc_RNA from 1 species
GAUGAAGAACGUAGCGAAAUGCGAUAAGUAGUGUGAAUUGCAGAAUUCAGUGAAUCAUCGAAUCUUUGAACGCACAUUGCGCCCCUUGGUAUUCCAUGGGGCAUGCCUGUUCGAGCGUCAUUUGUACCCUCAAGCUUUGCUUGGUGUUGGGUGUUUGUCCUCUCCUUUGCGUUUGGACUCGCCUUAAAGCAAUUGGCAGCCAGUGUUUUGGUAUUGAAGCGCAGCACAUUUUGCGAUUCUAGCCGAUAAUACUUGCGUCCAUAAGCCUUUUUUAACUUUUGACCUCGGAUCAGGUAGGGAUACCCGCUGAACUUAAGCAUAUCAAUAAGCGGAGGA